GGGGGGGGGGGGGGGGGGGGGGGGGGGGGGGGGGGGGGGGAAAGCUGUGACUUGGACGGUAACCUUUCAAAAUGCACUAAUGGCUCGUUUCCACUGAGCGGUAGCCUACGGUUCGGAAUGGUAAACCCUGAUAAGGCUUGCACCGCCAACAGUACCCUUACUUGAUAGGCGUGGUGUAUGCCGGUGUUACGGAUCAACUGGGGAUCAUGUUAAGUGGGGACGCGCGCGUGCACGCAAGUAUGUUUACCUGGAUUUCCGGCAGAUGUUAGACGGAGACAGAUUCGUCAUAUGCGAUAUUCCACGGAUCAUAGAUUUAAAAACGUAUGUUUCACUAGUUAUAAAAAUAAUAAAGCGCUUUGAUUUCGCGGUGUUCGUUCCUGCGUAUUUGGAGCAGUUUAAAGGAAGUUUAUCAUGCUCUAAUGUCACGCUCACAAACCACGCCCACGUUAACAUGGGACAUUCGUUUCAAUGAAUGAACAAACUUGUCUAGUAGGGUGACCAUAUCAUUUUCCCAGGACGCGUCCUGUCCAGGAUUUCUAAAUUGCCUGCAAUGGCUUGAGCCCUUGCCUCUUUAAUCGUGAAAGUGCGAUGUGCCCCCGGAACGCGAUUUCUACACGGAGCCGUCGAUUGAGUCAGCCCUGCAAACCUGUUGGUAGAUACGCAGUGGACAGUGGAAAUAUGCACUCGUCCCAGUUGAUGUCCCACCGGCAGAGAGGCCUUACCAGGGUCUCUGAAGCCGAUCCAGGGUUCCCUGCUCAGCCGAAUGAAAGUGUACACAAAUAUGUUUUGCUCUGUUUUAUGUACUGUUUAUUGAAAAUGUUGUUUUUCUGAUGUUAAACCUAAGUUCUGUUGUAAAUAGUUGUAAAAGGUACUUUAAGUAAUGUAGCUAUAGAACGAUGUAUUUUAAUGUAAAAACAUUUAUUUACAUGAUUAAAAAAUAAUUGUAUAUGUUGUAUAUGUUUAAUGUUUCAUGUAAAAUUAUAAGUUGCAUAAAAGAAAUAAACAAUGAACAAUUCUCUUUUAUUUA